ACCCCUGUGGGCUUCCUGCUCAGGCUCCUCAAUGCCACGACGGCUGCGGGAUCCACGACCAUGGCUGCGCGAGCACCCAGAUGCAGGGCGGUUCCGAACCCAAAGCGCAGUUUGCAGGAUUGACGGGGCUGCUCUCAUUUUCGGUUUGCCACUGCUCCUUGCAUUCUACCGCUGCUCAUUG